rnacentral:lncRNA from 1 species
GGUCUAUGCGUCGACGCAUAGCCUGCAGUUUUGGACAAACUGAAAAACACAUCAGUAUGCGUCGACCAUAGGUCGGCGUGCGCUGACCCGUGGGAAAUUGAAAACUUCAUGCGCCGACCCUGUGGUCGACUCAAGCCUCCGUGCGCUGACCCGUGACAAACUGCACUAUGUUAUGCGCCGACCCUGCGGUCGACUCAAACCCUGCAAAUCUGCAAAAAUUCAGAUUUUUGUGGUUUUCAUGCAUUUUGUCAUGACCACAUUUUA